GCAACAAGGAAAGAUCUCUAAAAAAAUCAAGGACGUGAUCAUUUCUGUGUUGUAACAGCGAAAUGAUAUUUACAUUUUUUCUGGAUAUUCUAUGAAAGCACGAAGAACCCUCAAACAAUAGUCUCUGGGUUACAGUUAGGAUUAGAUAAUUACUGAUUUUUUGUCUUGGUUAUCUGUUGCUAGGAGAUCUUCUUCUGUACUUGGCGUCCUAUCAGACCUUUGUGUUCCUCUUACAUUGUUCCUCCUUCCAGGAAAGGUCAGUACCUUCUUACAUAACUCUGGGCAGGUCAAUUAUAUAGAAAAAGUACAGAUCUCGUUAGGAAUAAGCCCCGCCUAUACCUGCCUGAAGGCCAAGAGAACCCAGUUCAGGACUGGAAGCCAAAUCAUUAAGUUACAAAAAAAACCUGCAGGAUUGUGUGAUCUAAAGGCAAACUAGCUGUGCUGCAGUGUCCAGCCACUCAUAACAUCAGCCAAAUGCCUUCUGGGAAAUAGACAGAGAAGUAGCAGCUGCAAGUUAGAGCUGGAAGAUGGAGCCGGAAGCAGUUUGGAGAAAUUAGGACAGCUCUAGUGACUGCUGAUGGUAACACCCGUCUCGGAGUAAAACCCCACCACAGAUACUUCCUCUGCACUUGCCUCGGACGCUCUGAGCAUCAAUGCAGCUGAGCAGGAAC